CUGUUUCUAAAGGUACGUCGGACGUACCCGAAUUUCAAAAGCUAAAGGUACGUCCGACGUACGCGGAACCGAGAGUCUAGAAAUACGUCGGACGUACCCGAAUCCCAAAAGCUAAAGGUACGUCGGCUGUACCCGCAACCGGGAGUCUAAAGAUACGUCGG